UACGUAGGGUGCGAGCGUUAAUCGGAAUUACUGGGCGUAAAGCGUGCGCAGGCGGUUUUGUAAGCCAGAUGUGAAAUCCCCGGGCUUAACCUGGGAAUGGCAUUUGGGACUGCAAGGCUUGAGUGCGGCAGAGGAGACUGGAAUUCCUGGUGUAGCAGUGAAAUGCGUAGAUAUCGGGAGGAACACCAGUGGCGAAGGCGGCACUCUGGGCCGGAACUGACGCUGAGGAGCGAAAGCGUGGGGAGCGAACAGG
rnacentral:rRNA from 1 species